UACAGACGGUCCAAACGUUAUUCGGAAUUACUGGGCGUAAAGCGUGCGUAGACGGUUAUUUAAGUCGGGUGUGAAAGCCCCGGGCUCAACCUGGGAAUUGCAUUCGAGACUGAAUAGCUAGGGUACGGUAGAGGGAAGUGGAAUUUCCGGUGUAGCGGUGAAAUGCGUAGAUAUCGGAAGGAACAUCAGUGGCGAAAGCGACUUCCUGGACCAGUACCGACGUUCAGGCACGAAAGCGUGGGGAGCAAACAGG
rnacentral:rRNA from 1 species